GACCGGCGGCACGGGUGGAGUAACGACGUAUGCAACUUACCUAUCAGAGGGGGAUAACCCGGCGAAAGUCGGACUAAUACCGCAUGAAGCAGGGGCCCCGCAUGGGGAGGUAUUUUGUCUAAAGAAUUCUAUCGCUGAUAGAUAGGCAUGCGUUCCAUUAGGCAGUUGGCGGGGUAACGGCCCACCAAACCGACGAUGGAUAGGGGUUCUGAGAGGAAGGUCCCCCACAUUGGUACUGAGCACGGACCA
rnacentral:rRNA from 1 species